GCUACAAGCAGCAAUAUGAUGGACCAUGAAGCAUCAGUUAUAGUCUACAAGCAGCAAUAUGAUGGACCAUGAAGCAUCAGUUAUAGGCUACAAGCAGCAAUAUGAUGGACCAUGAAGCAUCAGUUAUAGUCUACAAGCAGCAAUAUGAUGGACCAUGAAGCAUCAGUUAUAGGCUAUAGUCUACAAGCAGCAAUAUGAUGGACCAUGAAGCAUCAGUUAUAGUCUACAAGCAGCAAUAUGAUGGACCAUGAAGCAUCAGUUAUAGUCUACAAGCAGCAAUAUGAUGGACCAUGAAGCAUCAGUUAUAGUCUACAAGCAGCAAUAUGAUGGACCAUGAAGUAUCAGUUAUAGUCUACAAGCAGCAAUAUGAUGGACCAUGAAGCAUCAGUUAUAGUCUACAAGCAGCAAUAUGAUGGACC
ensembl:lncRNA